UACGAACCGUCCAAACGUUAUUCGGAAUUACUGGGCUUAAAGGGUUUGUAGGCGGCCUUGCAAGUGGGGUGUGAAAUCCCUCGGCUCAACCGAGGAAUAGCGCUCCAAACUGCAUGGCUUGAGGGAGACAGGGGUAAGCGGAACUGAUGGUGGAGCGGUGAAAUGCGUUGAUAUCAUCAGGAACACCGGUGGCGAAAGCGGCUUACUGGGUCUCUUCUGACGCUGAGAAACGAAAGCUAGGGUAGCGAAC
rnacentral:rRNA from 1 species